rnacentral:rRNA from 1 species
GUAGGGCGGGACACGUGGUAUCCUGUCUGAAUAUGGGGGGACCAUCCUCCAAGGCUAAAUACUCCUGACUGACCGAUAGUGAACCAGUACCGUGAGGGAAAGGCGAAAAGAACCCCGGCGAGGGGAGUGAAAAAGAACCUGAAACCGUGUACGUACAAGCAGUGGGAGCACGCUUAGGCGUGUGACUGCGUACCUUUUGUAUAAUGGGUCAGCGACUUAUAUUCUGUAGCAAGGUUAACCGAAUAGGGGAGCCGAAGGGAAACCGAGUCUUAACUGGGCGUUAAGUUGCAGGGUAUAGACCCGAAACCCGGUGAUCUAGCCAUGGGCAGGUUGAAGGUUGGGUAACACUAACUGGAGGACCGAACCGACUAAUGUUGAAAAAUUAGCGGAUGACUUGUGGCUGGGGGUGAAAGGCCAAUCAAACCGGGAGAUAGCUGGUUCUCCCCGAAAGCUAUUUAGGUAGCGCCUCGUGAAUUCAUCUCCGGGGGUAGAGCACUGUUUCGGCAAGGGGGUCAUCCCGACUUACCAACCCGAUGCAAACUGCGAAUACCGGAGAAUGUUAUCACGGGAGACACACGGCGGGUGCUAACGUCCGUCGUGAAGAGGGAAACAACCCAGACCGCCAGCUAAGGUCCCAAAGUCAUGGUUAAGUGGGAAACGAUGUGGGAAGGCCCAGACAGCCAGGAUGUUGGCUUAGAAGCAGCCAUCAUUUAAAGAAAGCGUAAUAGCUCACUGGUCGAGUCGGCCUGCGCGGAAGAUGUAACGGGGCUAAACCAUGCACCGAAGCUGCGGCAGCGACGCUGAUGCGUUGUUGGGUAGGGGAGCGUUCUGUAAGCCUGUGAAGGUGUGCUGUGAGGCAUGCUGGAGGUAUCAGAAGUGCGAAUGCUGACAUAAGUAACGAUAAAGCGGGUGAAAAGCCCGCUCGCCGGAAGACCAAGGGUUCCUGUCCAACGUUAAUCGGGGCAGGGUGAGUCGACCCCUAAGGCGAGGCCGAAAGGCGUAGUCGAUGGGAAACAGGUUAAUAUUCCUGUACUUGGUGUUACUGCGAAGGGGGGACGGAGAAGGCUAUGUUGGCCGGGCGACGGUUGUCCCGGUUUAAGCGUGUAGGCUGGUUUUCCAGGCAAAUCCGGAAAAUCAAGGCUGAGGCGUGAUGACGAGGCACUACGGUGCUGAAGCAACAAAUGCCCUGCUUCCAGGAAAAGCCUCUAAGCAUCAGGUAACAUCAAAUCGUACCCCAAACCGACACAGGUGGUCAGGUAGAGAAUACCAAGGCGCUUGAGAGAACUCGGGUGAAGGAACUAGGCAAAAUGGUGCCGUAACUUCGGGAGAAGGCACGCUGAUAUGUAGGUGAAGUCCCUCGCGGAUGGAGCUGAAAUCAGUCGAAGAUACCAGCUGGCUGCAACUGUUUAUUAAAAACACAGCACUGUGCAAACACGAAAGUGGACGUAUACGGUGUGACGCCUGCCCGGUGCCGGAAGGUUAAUUGAUGGGGUCAGCGCAAGCGAAGCUCUUGAUCGAAGCCCCGGUAAACGGCGGCCGUAACUAUAACGGUCCUAAGGUAGCGAAAUUCCUUGUCGGGUAAGUUCCGACCUGCACGAAUGGCGUAAUGAUGGCCAGGCUGUCUCCACCCGAGACUCAGUGAAAUUGAACUCGCUGUGAAGAUGCAGUGUACCCGCGGCAAGACGGAAAGACCCCGUGAACCUUUACUAUAGCUUGACACUGAACAUUGAGCCUUGAUGUGUAGGAUAGGUGGGAGGCUUUGAAGUGUGGACGCCAGUCUGCAUGGAGCCGGCCUUGAAAUACCACCCUUUAAUGUUUGAUGUUCUAACGUUGACCCGUUAUCCGGGUUGCGGACAGUGUCUGGUGGGUAGUUUGACUGGGGCGGUCUCCUCCUAAAGAGUAACGGAGGAGCACGAAGGUUGGCUAAUCCUGGUCGGACAUCAGGAGGUUAGUGCAAUGGCAUAAGCCAGCUUGACUGCGAGCGUGACGGCGCGAGCAGGUGCGAAAGCAGGUCAUAGUGAUCCGGUGGUUCUGAAUGGAAGGGCCAUCGCUCAACGGAUAAAAGGUACUCCGGGGAUAACAGGCUGAUACCGCCCAAGAGUUCAUAUCGACGGCGGUGUUUGGCACCUCGAUGUCGGCUCAUCACAUCCUGGGGCUGAAGUAGGUCCCAAGGGUAUGGCUGUUCGCCAUUUAAAGUGGUACGCGAGCUGGGUUUAGAACGUCGUGAGACAGUUCGGUCCCUAUCUGCCGUGGGCGCUGGAGAACUGAGGGGGGCUGCUCCUAGUACGAGAGGACCGGAGUGGACGCAUCACUGGUGUUCGGGUUGUCAUGCCAAUGGCACUGCCCGGUAGCUAAAUGCGGAAGAGAUAAGUGCUGAAAGCAUCUAAGCACGAAACUUGCCCCGAGAUGAGUUCUCCCUGACUCCUUGAGAGUCCUGAAGGAACGUUGAAGACGACGACGUUGAUAGGCCGGGUGUGUAAGCGCAGCGAUGCGUUGAGCUAACCGGUACUAAUGAACCGUGAGG